GGACGUGGUGUAAUGGAUAACACAUAAGUCCGGUCUACUGAAGAUGCUGGUUCGCUCCCAGCCGCCG